GGAGGCCAAAUGCGUGCUGAGAUUAGCAUGUGCAGGGUCUGUCCUUGGCCCUUUCCAUAGUUUCCCUAAGAGAGUCAUUAGGUUGACCCCUAGAUCUGGCCUAAAUCCAUCGGCUUACGUAUUUAUAUUGGGCUUCACAGGCUGCAUGGAAACCCUUCGCUAGCGUCCCACAUGGAAUCCAAGAGCAGAAGGUGAGGCUUGGCCUUAUGGGGUGGGAGACAGGACUGGGGAGGAGUUAGCCUCCUCCUUUCUAAGAUCUGAUUUUUGUGUAACUCUGAAGCAUAAAAUGGUGGCCCUAACCCAAGGGCUACCUGACCUUUUGGUUCUUGAACCCCAAACUAAUCAGGUGUUUCUGUCUCUUAAGGGGAAGAAUCUCAUCGGUCCAGCUCUACUCAGCAGUUCACUGAGCACGUGACUCAUGCCACCACCUAUUGAUGUCUUGGGAUUCUGGAGCAUCAGCUGGCCUCUGCUAUCAAUAAGCCUGCUUCGGGCAGCUUCCUCUCCCUUUUUAUGGAAUGGACUAAGAAAUCUACAUGGUUGGGGUUGUGCGAAAAUCAAGAGCAGUGAGGUUUAGGCUGGAGAUCUGGAGACAUUCGUUACAGAAUAAAACAUAUGAAACAGUGCACGGGCUUUGUGACAGCUUGUUUGUCUCCUCAGAAGCCAUUUUUGCUCAGUCCUACAUUUAGAAAGAACCCAGAUUCAACUAGAAAUUGGCUCUCUGAAUACAGAGGAUGCCUUUGAAUUCCGAUUUUGUCAGUAGGGGUGAUGGAGAACACUGGCAUCUCUGCAAUAUGCUUUUGAAAAUAAAAUGCUUCAUAAUAAAAUGCUCUGGCCGUUUCCCCUAAAUCCCAUUUCCCCCCCCCAAUUCAGCCGCCUGACGUCCUAAAACAUUGCCCUAACAUCUAUACAUUCAUCUUAAUCUGAGGCACCCA
rnacentral:lncRNA from 1 species